GAUGAACGCUGGCGGCGUGCCUAACACAUGCAAGUCGAGCGUGAACCCUGCGAAUGAAACUUCGGUCGAUUUUGCAGGGGGAAAGCGGCGGACGGGUGAGUAACGCGUAGGUAACCUGCCCCAUACUGAGGGAUAGCCUCGGGAAACCGGGAUUAAUACCUCAUAACACCGUAUAUUCGCAUGGAUGUGCGGUCAAAGAUUUAUCGGUAUGGGAUGGGCCUGCGUCUGAUUAGCUGGUUGGUGGGGUAACGGCCUACCAAGGCGACGAUCAGUAGCCGACCUGAGAGGGUGAUCGGCCACAUUGGAACUGAGACACGGUCCAAACUCCUACGGGAGGCAGCAGUGGGGAAUAUUGCACAAUGGGCGAAAGCCUGAUGCAGCAACGCCGCGUGAGCGAUGAAGGCCUUCGGGUCGUAAGCUCUGUCCUCAAGGAAGAUAAUGACGGUACUUGAGGAGGAAGGCCCCGGCUAACUACGUGCCAGCAGCCGCGGUAAUAU
rnacentral:rRNA from 1 species